rnacentral:rRNA from 1 species
GACGAACGCUGGCGGCGUGCCUAAUACGUGCAAGUCGAGCGGACUUAAAAAGCUCGCUUUUUAAGUUAGCGGCGGACGGGUGAGUAACACGUGGGCAACCUGCCUGUAAGACUGGGAUAACUUCGGGAAACCGGAGCUAAUACCGGAUAAUCCUUUCCUACUCAUGGAGGAAAGCUGAAAGACGGUUUACGCUGUCACUUACAGAUGGGCCCGCGGCACAUUAGCUAGUUGGUGAGGUAACGGCUCACCAAGGCGACGAUGCGUAGCCGACCUGAGAGGGUGAUCGGCCACACUGGGACUGAGACACGGCCCAGACUCCUACGGGAGGCAGCAGUAGGGAAUCUUCCGCAAUGGACGAAAGUCUGACGGAGCAACGCCGCGUGAGUGAUGAAGGUUUUCGGAUCGUAAAACUCUGUUGUUAGGGAAGAACAAGUACGAGAGUAACUGCUCGUACCUUGACGGUACCUAACCAGAAAGCCACGGCUAACUACGUGCCAGCAGCCGCCGUAA